rnacentral:rRNA from 1 species
GAGCGGACAGAUGGGAGCUUGCUCCCUGAUGUUAGCGGCGGACGGGUGAGUAACACGUGGGUAACCUGCCUGUAAGACUGGGAUAACUCCGGGAAACCGGGGCUAAUACCGGAUGCUUGUUUGAACCGCAUGGUUCAAACAUAAAAGGUGGCUUCGGCUACCACUUACAGAUGGACCCGCGGCGCAUUAGCUAGUUGGUGAGGUAAUGGCUCACCAAGGCAACGAUGCGUAGCCGACCUGAGAGGGUGAUCGGCCACACUGGGACUGAGACACGGCCCAGACUCCUACGGGAGGCAGCAGUAGGGAAUCUUCCGCAAUGGACGAAAGUCUGACGGAGCAACGCCGCGUGAGUGAUGAAGGUUUUCGGAUCGUAAAGCUCUGUUGUUAGGGAAGAACAAGUACCGUUCGAAUAGGGCGGUACCUUGACGGUACCUAACCAGAAAGCCACGGCUAACUACGUGCCAGCAGCCGCGGUAAUACGUAGGUGGCAAGCGUUGUCCGGAAUUAUUGGGCGUAAAGGGCUCGCAGGCGGUUUCUUAAGUCUGAUGUGAAAGCCCCCGGCUCAACCGGGGAGGGUCAUUGGAAACUGGGGAACUUGAGUGCAGAAGAGGAGAGUGGAAUUCCACGUGUAGCGGUGAAAUGCGUAGAGAUGUGGAGGAACACCAGUGGCGAAGGCGACUCUCUGGUCUGUAACUGACGCUGAGGAGCGAAAGCGUGGGGAGCGAACAGGAUUAGAUACCCUGGUAGUCCACGCCGUAAACGAUGAGUGCUAAGUGUUAGGGGGUUUCCGCCCCUUAGUGCUGCAGCUAACGCAUUAAGCACUCCGCCUGAGGAGACCGGUCGCAAAAUGG